rnacentral:tRNA from 1 species
GCCUAUAGCUCAGCUGGUUAGAGCACACGCCUGAUAAGCGUGAGGUCGAUGGUUCGAGUCCAUUUAGGCCC